rnacentral:lncRNA from 1 species
UCCCAAAAUCCCAAAAUCCCAAAUUCCCAAAAUCCCGAAUUCCCAAAUUCCCAAAUUCCCAAAUUCCCAAUUUUUCCCUCUGGAAUUUCCCAGAAUUUCCCAAUCCCGGGAUUUUUCCCUCUGGAAUUUCCCAAUCCCGGGGUUUUUCCCCCUGGAAUUUCCCUGUUUUCCCAAUCCCGGGGUUUUCCCCCUGGAAUUUCCCUGGAAUUUCCCAAUCCCGGGGUUUUCCCCCUGGAAUUUCCCAAUCCCGGGAUUUUUCCCUCUGGAAUUUCCCGGAAUUUCCCAAUCCCGGGAUUUUUCCCCCUGGAAUUUCCCAAUCCCGGGAUUUUUCCCCUUGGAAUUUCCCUGGAAUUUCCCAAUCCCGGGGUUUUUCCCCCUGGAAUUUCCCAAUCCCGGGAUUUUUCCCCUGGAAUUUCCCUGGAAUUUCCCAAUCCCGGGGUUUUCCCUCUGGAAUUUCCCUGUUUUCCCUGUUUUCCGUUCCCAGUGGAGACCCUGCGGCUCCUGAUUGUCCGGAGGCUCCGGCCGGGCCGGGAUCCCCGUCCCGACGAUGACGUCACCCCCACGGCCUCGCUGGCCGGAGCGGCGCUCCCGGGCUCCGGCCGGGAAUUCCCGGGCUCCAAACAGGAAUUCCCAGGGUCCGGCCGGGAUUCAGCCACAUCCAGCCGGGAAUUCCCAAUGUCCGGCCGGGAAUUCCCGGGCUCCAAACAGGAAUUCCCAAUGUCCAGCUGGGAUUCAGCCACAUCCAGCUGGGAAUUCCCGGGCUCCAAACAGGAAUUCCCGGGGUCCAAACAGGAAUUCCCAGUGUCCAGUCAAGAAUUCCCGAUGUCCAGUCAAGAAUUCCCGAUGUCCAGGCAGGAAUUCCCAAUGUCCAGCCGGGAUUCAGCCGUGUCCAGUCAAGAAUUCCCGAUGUCCAGCCAGGAAUUCCCGAUGUCCAGCCGGGAAUUCCCAAUGUCCAGCCGGGAUUCGGGAAUGUCCGGCCGGGAAUCCCGGGAAGAGCCGGAGCCCAGCGGGAUCCAAAUCAAGCGGAAAGGUAACGUCCGGCCGGGAAUCCCGGGAAGAGCCGGAGCCCAGCGGGAUCCAAAUCAAGCGGAAAGCCCAGGAGGAGGGGCCUGAGGAGGCCACGCCCCCGAGCGGCUGCAGCCAAUCAGAGCGCGAGCUGCGGGAAG